rnacentral:rRNA from 1 species
UACGGGGGGGGCAAGGCGUUGUUCGGAAUUACUGGGCGUAAAGGGCUUGUAGGUGGCCAACUAAGUCAGACGUGAAAUCCCUCGGCUUAACCGGGGAACUGCGUCUGAUACUGGAUGGCUUGAGUGUGGGAGAGGGAUGCGGAAUUCCAGGUGUAGCGGUGAAAUGCGCAGAUAUCAGGAAGAACACCCGUGGCGAAGGCGGCUCUCUGGGACGUGACUGACGCUGAGACGCGAAAGCGUGGGGAGCAAACAGG